rnacentral:rRNA from 2 species
CCUACGGGAGGCAGCAGUGGGGAAUAUUGCACAAUGGGGGAAACCCUGAUGCAGCAACGCCGCGUGAGUGAUGAAGGUUUUCGGAUCGUAAAGCUCUGUCUUUGGGGAAGAUAAUGACGGUACCCAAGGAGGAAGCCACGGCUAACUACGUGCCAGCAGCCGCGGUAAU